GCCUCGUUGGUGCAGUCGGCAGCGCGUCAAUCUCAUAAUCUGGAGGUCUUGAGUUCGAGCCUCACACUGGGCA
rnacentral:tRNA from 1 species